UACGGAGGGUGCAAGCGUUAUCCGGAUUUACUGGGUUUAAAGGGUGUGUAGGCGGGCCAUUAAGUCAGGGGUGAAAUCCCGGAGCUCAACUCCGGAACUGCCUUUGAUACUAUUGGUCUUGAAUGUUGUUGAGGUGGGCGGAACGGGUCAUGUAGCGGUGAAAUGCAUAGAUAUGUCACAGAACACCAAUUGCGAAGGCAGCUUACUAUGGUAUGAUUGACGCUGAGGCACGAAAGCGUGGGGAUCAAACAGG
rnacentral:rRNA from 1 species